ACACUCCUACGGGAGGCAGCAGUGGGGAAUUUUGGACAAUGGGCGAAAGCCUGAUCCAGCAAUGCCGCGUGAGUGAAGAAGGCCUUCGGGUUGUAAAGCUCUUUUGUCAGGGAAGAAACGGUGAAAGCUAAUAUCUUUUGCUAAUGACGGUACCUGAAGAAUAAGCACCGGCUAACUACGUGCCAGCAGCCGCGGUAAUACGUAGGGUGCAAGCGUUAAUCGGAAUUACUGGGCGUAAAGCGUGCGCAGGCGGUUUUGUAAGUCUGAUGUGAAAUCCCCGGGCUCAACCUGGGAAUUGCAUUGGAGACUGCAAGGCUAGAAUCUGGCAGAGGGGGGUAGAAUUCCACGUGUAGCAGUGAAAUGCGUAGAUAUGUGGAGGAACACCGAUGGCGAAGGCAGCCCCCUGGGUCAAGAUUGACGCUCAUGCACGAAAGCGUGGGGAGCAAACAGGAUUAGAAACCCCGGUAGUCC
rnacentral:rRNA from 1 species